GGCGCACGGGUGCGCAACGCGUAUAGAACCUACCCUGUACAGGGGAUAGCCCAGAGAAAUUUGGAUUAAUACCCCGUGGUAAAUAUAAAUGGCAUCGUUUAUAUUUUAAAGUUUUCGGAUGGUACAGGAUGGCUAUGCGUCCUAUUAGUUAGAUGGUGAGGUAACGGCUCACCAUGGCAGCGAUAGGUAGGGGCCCUGAGAGGGGGAUCCCCCACACUGGUACUGAGACACGGACCAG
rnacentral:rRNA from 1 species